rnacentral:lncRNA from 1 species
CUCUUUGGCAACGUAAAACCGUUUUUUAACUGCCUUCUAAUCGUUUCGCAAAUCACAAACGUGUGAUGUUUUUUCCUUAAGAAAGAUUAAAUUUUUCAAUCCAAUUCAAAACUCCAACGUUUAAAAAUUGAAAUUUGAAGAAGAAAGAGACCCUUCACCUUUAGUCCGUCCUAGUCGUUUGGUGCCAGAAGAAGAGUAAAUCACUGAUUUUGAGUAAGUUUUUGAUAUGGGUUUGCGGCAUAUUCACUUGUCGUGUGCCUGCGUUGUGUAGUUUCUGGUUUUCU